rnacentral:rRNA from 1 species
CCUACGGGUGGCAGCAGUGGGGAAUUUUGCGCAAUGGGCGAAAGCCUGACGCAGCGACGCCGCGUGGAGGAUGAAGGCCCUUGGGUCGUAAACUCCUGUCAGGUGGGAAGCUGUACCACCGGAGGAAGCCCCGGCUAACUCCGUGCCAGCAGCCGCGGUAAUACGGAGGGGGCAAGCGUUGUUCGGAAUUAUUGGGCGUAAAGGGCGCGUAGGCGGCCGACCAAGUCGGGUGUGAAAUCCCUCGGCUCAACCGAGGAACUGCAUUCGAUACUGGUUGGCUAGAGUCCGGGAGGGGAUGGUGGAAUUCCCAGUGUAGCGGUGAAAUGCGUAGAUAUUGGGAAGAACACCGGUGGCGAAGGCGGCCAUCUGGACCGGACUGACGCUGAGGCGCGAAAGCCAGGGGAGCGAAUGGGAUUAGAUACCCUUGUAGUC